rnacentral:rRNA from 1 species
CCGGCGACCGGCGGACGGGUGCGUAACGCGUAUGUAACCUACCUUUGACAGGGGGAUAACAUCGAGAAAUUGGUACUAAUACCCCAUAACAUCACCGGAGGCAUCUUCGGUGGUUUGAAAACUCAGGUGGUCAGAGAUGGACAUGCGUUGUAUUAGCUAGUUGGUGAGGUAACGGCUCACCAAGGCGACGAUACAUAGGGGGACUGAGAGGUCAACCCCCCACAUUGGUACUGAGACACGGACCAAACUCCUACGGAAGGCAGCAG